UUGUAACAUUAUUUUAUUAGAGUCUAAUAUAAUUCUUCUUUUAAACACUUUUGUGUUUUUUACUCUCAUCAAUUUAUCAUGGUAUCAGUGAAACUGUUUCACUUCUAAGGUUUCCUCCAAACUUAUCAUGGUAUCAAAGCCUUGAUCAUGUUCUGAUGGGCCGGGUUAGAGUUCUCGUUUGCUUCCGCUUCUAUAAUUUUCUUUUUUUUUUGAUUUUUUUUUUAUUUUUUUCCCUAUUCAUUCAUUAAAAAAAAUACUUCUCUUAUUUUCUUUCUUUCUACCAAAAACACGAAAAAAAAUACGAGGUUGUUCGUGUUCAACUUGGCCGUGUAGGAAAGCCAACCACGUUGAUGUUGUGGAGACUACACCGACGAAAGUGACUCAUGUUUGUGGUUUGGGUUUUUUAUUGGCUAGCUUGCUAGUUGGUGACGAUCGUUUAUGAGCCAAUGAUGGUUCUAAUACUUAUUAUGAUGGUCAUAAGAGGUUGACCAUGACUCCAACGAUGCAGUGGAGAUAUGGAGACGAUGAUAACGACGGGUACGAUGCUAAUCCGGUGGUGAUGGAUUUAAAUUUUGACUAUGGUUUCACAAGUUUCUUCAUGAACAAGAAAUUCGAAGAACAACCAACACUUGUGGUUUAAAUCGAUAGGAAAUACAUAACUACCAGAGAUGUAUUUUUAACUUAUUUGACUCUACGACUGAGUCAAAUUGGUUCAUUUUUUGAUAAAGUUAAUAAUAUUUCUAUUUUAUCUAAAUAUUAACAAAAUUAGAAUCGACACGUGUCAAUAUCCUAUCGUUUAUAAUUAACACAUGUCACGAUUUUGUUAGUGGC
rnacentral:lncRNA from 1 species